rnacentral:rRNA from 1 species
AUUGAACGCUGGCGGCAUGCUUUACACAUGCAAGUCGAACGGUAACAGGCCGCAAGGUGCUGACGAGUGGCGAACGGGUGAGUAAUGCAUCGGAACGUGCCCAGUCGUGGGGGAUAACGCAGCGAAAGCUGCGCUAAUACCGCAUACGAUCUAUGGAUGAAAGCGGGGGACCGUAAGGCCUCGCGCGAUUGGAGCGGCCGAUGUCAGAUUAGGUAGUUGGUGGGGUAAAGGCUCACCAAGCCAAACAUCUGUAGCUGGUCUGAGAGGACGACCAGCAACACGGGGACUGAGACACGGCCCAGACUCCUACGGGAGGCAGCAGUGGGGAAUUUUGGACAAUGGGCGAAAGCCUGAUCCAGCAAUGCCGCGUGCAGGAAGAAGGCCUUCGGGUUGUAAACUGCUUUUGUACGGAACGAAAAGGCUCUGGAUAAUACCUGGGGCUCAUGACGGUACCGUAAGAAUAAGCACCGGCUAACUACGUGCCAGCCGCCGCGGUAAAAC